UUUUUGAAGCUGAGUUUUUAUUAGUUUAAUUUGUCUUCAUGGACUAAGUUUUUAGUUUAUCAACAGUGGCGAUGUCAUUAGUUGUACUCUUUGGGAAUCACAUGCAAUGAAAUUUUUCAACUAGUACAACACCUUGCUAGAAAUUGUAUGGUUGAUGCUUAGUGAUGAACAGUUACAAAAUCUAACUUUGCUAGAAAUUGAAAAGCUACUUGAAUGAAAUCGCAGAAGUUUGAAAGACUUUCCACCAAUGCCAUGCCCAAAUGGUUAU
rnacentral:lncRNA from 1 species